UACGUAGGAUGCGAGCGUUGUCCGGAAUCAUUGGGCGUAAAGCGAACGUAGGCGGUCUGUUAAGUCCGUUCUUAAAGACCGGGGCUCAACCUCGGGACUGGAAUGGAUACUGUCAGGCUGGAGGACGUCAGAGGGAAGUGGAAUUCCUAGUGUAGCGGUGAAAUGCGUAGAUAUCGUCUGGAACGCCGAAGGUGAAAACAGCUCGCUGGGGCUGCGCUGACGCUGAGACACGAAAGCCAGGGGAGCGAACGGG
rnacentral:rRNA from 1 species